AGGCCCGGGAGGGAUUGCACUUCUCACAGUUAAGCGACACAGAGGCGCAGCGAGCUACGCCUACCUGACAGGACUCCCGCCAUUCAAGGACCCGAUUUAGGCUCUCAGCCCCACGCGCGAUCUGUCAAGAUGACCAGUGUAUACGAUUACAUGAGUGUGACAACAGACUACGAUAAUGAUGAUGGCAGCACCAGCCUGACCACUGAGGAUUUGGAUACUUUUUGCGACAAGGGCGUCGUCCGCUCAUUUAGGGGGUACUACGAGCCCCCACUUUACUGGGGGAUAGUCAUCCUGGGCGGCAUCGGCAACCUGCUGGUGGUGUGGAUCUACCUCCACUUUCGAAACCGCCUGAAGACCAUGACUGACGUGUACCUGCUCAACCUGGCCGUGGCCGACCUGCUCUUCCUGGGCACCCUUCCCUUCUAUGCCUCCGACGCCGUCCAGGGCUGGACCUUCGGGUCCGGGUUGUGCAAGACGGUGUCGGCCGUCUACAAGAUCAACUUCUUCAGCAGCAUGCUGCUGCUCACCUGCAUCAGCGUGGACCGCUACAUCGCCAUCGUGCAGGCCACCAAGGCCCAGAACUCCAAGAAGAAGAGGCUCUUCUACAGCAAGGUGGUGUGCCUGGGCGUCUGGGUGCUGGCCUUCCUGCUGGCCAUGCCGGAAUUCCUCUUUGCCAGCGUCAAGGAGGACUACGAGGGCAACUCCUACUGCACCAUGGUCUACCUGAACAACCAGAAUAACCGCACCAAGAUCCUGGUCCUCGCCCUCCAGAUCUGCAUGGGCUUCUGCCUGCCGUUCCUGGUCAUGUUCUUCUGCUACUUCGUCAUCGUCCGCACCCUGCUGCAGGCCAGGAGCUUCGAGAAGCACAAGGCGCUGCGCGUGAUCCUGGCGGUGGUGGCGGUGUUCGUCCUCUCCCAGCUGCCGUACAACAGCGUCCUGGUGGUGGAGGCCGUGCAGGCGGCCAACACCACCAUCACCGACUGCGAGGAGGCCCGGCGCUUCGACAUCGCCAGCCAGGUCAUGAAGAGCCUGGCCUACACCCACAGCUGCAUCAACCCCUUCCUCUACGCGUUCAUCGGGGUACGGUUCCGCAAGGACCUGGUCAAGGUGUUCCAGGCCUGCCUGUGCAUGCCGGGCAAGUUCACCAAGGUGCCGGGAGGCUCCAAGAGGUCCUCCAUGAUGUCGGACACCGAGACCACCCGGGCCCUGUCGUUGUAGCCCGGAGCGACACUCGAUGUCCACGUUACCGACGUGGGCCAGUUUUUUGCUCCGCAGGGUUACGUCAACAUGUGUGUGCAGGGAUGGCCCAGGAUGGGACUGAAAUCCUUUGGUCAGCAGUGCUGACUUGAGUAGUUUUUUGGGGGGGUGGGGACUGUAAAGGGUCAGUUUAGGAAAAAAUGUACAGCUUGGGACGAGACCUUUCCCCUGGGACAGCUCGAAAAAGGCUGACAUCCGGAAAGUAUGACUGUUAAAGGCCCACCUGAAGAUGGCCACUUCAUAAGUAUAGGAUAAUGGACUUUGCAUCUUAUGGACAAAAUGGUGGAACGUCUUCAUGGUGUACUGUAGGCCUUGCUGGCUGAGGUCUGAGGGGUGGUGCGGGGGUGGAGAGCCAAAUGGUGUUCCCCUAACUUUCCUCUCUACAGCAUUAGUGCAUCUUCAUCACAAAUUUCUACUUUUGGUUUUGUUGCAGGUGAAGCAGGCCCUUCCUGAAAGCCUCUCUGUCUUCAUAUUUCUGUGCAUUGCUGCUUACCUUCAUUCAUGUCUAAGAUGAGGGGGGGGAGGACAGAGUGUGGCACAGUGGGUAAGGAACUGGGCUUGUAACCGAAAGGUCGCCGGUUCGAUUCCCGGGUAAGGACACUGCCGUUGUACCCUUGAGCAAGGUACUUAACCUGCAUUGCUUCAGUAUAUAUAUCCAGCUGUAUAAAUGGAUACAAUGUAAAAUGGUAUGUAAAAAGUUGUGUAAGUCACUCUGGAUAAGAGCGUCUGCUAAAUGCCUGUAAUGUAAUGUAAUGAGGGCAGUUGUGAACUGUUCAGAACUUUCCUGAAGAUCAACCUGAAAAAUGUUUAAAUGAUUCUCUCAUGCAGAACUUAUUUAAAAAGCCGUUUGUUUUUGUUUUUCUGACAUAAGACUAUAGAGACGGUUUUGUUUGUUUUCUGUUUGUUCAGUGAAAUGCUGCUCUUUUCGGAGGACACGUUGCUCUUUUAUGUUGUUUUGUCUGUUUUUUUAUACUUGUAAAUAACAGCAAAUAAAAAAAAAAUCAAGACA